AAGUCGUAACAAGGUCUCCGUUGGUGAACCAGCGGAGGGAUCAUUACAGAGUCGCAAUACUCCGUAAACCAUUGUGAACGUUACCUAACCGUUGCUUCGGCGGGCGCCCCCCGGCCCCUGCGGGCGCCCGCCGGAGGUAGACCAAACUCUUGAAUUACAUGGCCUCUCUGAGUCUUCUGUACUGAAUAAGUCAAAACUUUCAACAACGGAUCUCUUGGUUCUG
rnacentral:misc_RNA from 1 species